CCGAGUGGGCCGCGAUCGGCCGAGGAUUUGGGGUACUCUUUGACCCAGGCGGGGCGCGAUCCGCCUAGGAUUUGGGGUCCCCUGGCGCCGAACCCUGAGUUGCCAGAUUUAGCAAGUAAAAGUACAGUUCUUCUAAAUUUGAAUUUCAGACAGGACAGGUUUUAGGGUUCGUCUCCUGUAAUGUUGAGAAGGUUUUGUUCUAGAUCGUGUUUGUGGCUGUGUUCUUCAGGAUAUUUUCCCUGACCUUGAGGAUUUCCCUCAUCUACCUUUCUUUGGGAGAUACGACUAAAACCAACAAAAGCCAAGUUUGGUAAAUAAGAAGUUUAAACAAGUGCUUCUCUGUACAGCUCAUCCACUUCCUCAUCUGUAAACCGAUCCCCCAUGGUUGUCAGCAGCUCUCUCAAGUAAUCUUCCUGAAUGGUGCCUGGAGAAUAAAGAACAAGGGAUCAGAAUACAUACUAUUCUGAGGGUUAAUUACAAAGAAUAUCUAUACUCAACUAAGCAUGUUCUGUAUGUUACAAACUAUAAACAUGCAAAGAUAUAUGAACUACAGGGUGUCCACCUACUUAAAACAGCCUCAGCAGAGAAGUGCCUAGAAAAAUGCCUAGCUGCUUAGCAGCACUGCUCCGCUCUAUCAUUUGCUCUAUCAUUCUGCCUCCACAUUCAGCUUCUGAUCUCUUGAUAAGAGAGACUAAACCUAUGCCUAAACAAAGUAAUAAAAAGUAUGGUUAAAGAAUCUAAGCCUUACGGUUCCUUAAAGUGGCAUGAAUGGUCACAUCUUAUUCUACAAGCAAGUAACAUUUACCUGCCAGGCUAAAAUCAACACUACAUCAUACACAUCAAUAAAGUGGUACAGUGGAAAGAAUACUGGAAACUUGAGGCCCAGUUUUAACAAGCUAUUUUAUUUCAGGCAUUUCACUUUAUCCCUGACUUUGGUUUUCUCAGAUGUAAAAUGAGAUUUUUACUGUUUACAA
rnacentral:lncRNA from 1 species